GAUGAAGAACGUAGCGAAAUGCGAUACUUGGUGUGAAUUGCAGAAUCCCGUGAACCAUCGAGUCUUUGAACGCAAGUUGCGCCCGAAGCCAUCAGGUUGAGGGCACGUCUGCCUGGGCGUCACAUAUCGUUGCCCAAUGCCUAUUGCAGUGCAAUAGGAAUUUCUAGGGCGAAUGAUGGCUUCCCGUGAGCGUUGUUGCCUCGCGGUUGGUUGAAAAUCGAGUCCUUGAUAGGGUGUGCCAUGGUAGAUGGUGGUCGAGUUAGAACGAUACCGAUCAUGUGCAUGCUCCCCAAAAUAUGGCCUCUAUGACCCACACGCGUCUUUUGACGCUCAUGACGAGACCUCAGGUCAGGCGGGGCUACCCACUGAAUUUAAGCAUAUCAAUAAGCGGAGGA
rnacentral:misc_RNA from 1 species